rnacentral:lncRNA from 1 species
AAAUGAUAACCUAUUAGAAUUAUCGAAAAAGAGUUAGUGAUGGUUGGUACAUUUGCAGUUAAUUGAGAUGUGGAGUUAAUCUUCUGUUUUCGGGUGUGAAAUAGAUUAGUUAUGCCAGGAAAAAUGAUGCAGAUUGGAAACUCAUUAUGCAGGUGAAUUUGUUUUGCAAGAUUUGAGUUGCCGGAGCUUGACCUGAUGGUGAAACGGGCUUGGCGAUUUGGCUUCGCGCAACGGAUUACUAAGGUAGCAAUUGAUUCUUCCUUGGCUUGCUUUGGCUUAGUGUAUUAUUUUGAUAGUAGAUUUGUGGUUCAAUGCUGCAGAAUCAUGGUAUUGCAGCUUGGUUUCGGGUCUGCGAAUUGGUCGUGGUGUAGUUUUCUCUUGUUCUCUUACAGGUCCAAUGACUGGUAUGCUUAACCCAUGGUGCAGCAGGCUUGACGCUUGAAAUCGGGCAUGGGCAGUUCGAAGUUAGGGAAGGUUAUGGAUCAGAUAGCUUGCAGGAAAUGGUGGUUAGGCCGAUGAAAUCAGUUGGUUGACCGCCAGUAGACGUGAACAAAGGUGGCGGUUGCUGAUACUGCAGAGUAUGCCGCGGGUCUGCAUAAUUGACGGGUGAUGUCAUUGUCAAUGCAGAAGGUGUCAAUGAAGUGACAUCGGUUGGGAAAGUUGUGAAGCUGCCCGUAGCCGGAGUUGCUCAUGAAAAGCCCAGAACUUAUUGUAUUCACGCUGCAUCAGGUAGUAUGCGUUUGGCUUUUUAUUUCCGUUAAUUAUAAAACGUUAGAUUGCUUUUCUGUGAAAUGAAUGUGCGUUACAUUUAAUGAAUUGAUUUGUUAGGGGAGAUUGUGAUUAAUUUUGGUGACGAGUCCCGUUGAAUCGGUAGCGGCAGGGUAAUUAAAUACGAUUGGAAGGUUUGUUCAGUUGGUUGUGAAACAUCUAAUCCAUUUUUAAUUUCUGUUAUUUAAUGUUGCAAUUGGCUGUUGUUGUAGGUUCUAGAAUGCAUUUGGUUGCAUCUAUUUAACAGAACAGAAGGCGCCGCAUUAGAUGGCUCCAAGCUAAAAGGCUUUUCCUCGACGCGUUUUCCAGCCUCUUUGUCUCCCUGAACCCUACAAGCAUUCGGAAAUAUUCUAUACACUGUAGCAGAAACUUGAAAAGGAACCGAUAAUACCACCUUCUCGGUUUCUUGUAUGCGCACAACACGACUAAGGGCAUCGGCGAGACAAGAAUAAUGUUCAAUCUCCCUGCC